GCUUUUCUACUUUAAAAAAAUAAAUCGAUUGGCUUCUUUUCCGAGUUGACAGGAUGAGGAGGCGGCGGGAGGCAUCCCUGGGGAGCACGUGCAUGAACCUGGAGGUGGUUCUAAUGUGCAGCCAAGCCUGAGAGGAGCUGCUGUAAACAUUAGGGACACACAUUGUCCCCCACCAGCCCGGCUGACCUUGAACACACUUGGGUUUUCAGGAACAGUCUUCCCUCCCUCUCUGAGAGCACAGACUGGAAAGACGGCCACCCAGGAAGGACACAGGCUCUGAAAACCAUGUGAAGAGGUAAAUGAUGGGACAUCCACCUGUUCUGGGUACAGGUAGAAUCAGAACAAGAGAGGGCACAAGGCAGUGUUCAGGGUGGGCAUGGCUAACACCCU